rnacentral:rRNA from 1 species
GACGUAGGGCGCGAGCGUUGUCCGGAUUUAUUGGGCGUAAAGAGCUCGUAGGCGGUUUGUUGCGUCGGCUGUGAAAUCCCGAGGCUCAACCUCGGGUCUGCAGUCGAUACGAGCAGACUAGAGUGUUGCAGGGGAGACUGGAAUUCCUGGUGUAGCGGUGAAAUGCGCAGAUAUCAGGAGGAACACCGGUGGCGAAGGCGGGUCUCUGGGCAACAACUGACGCUGAGGAGCGAAAGCUAGGGGAGCAAACGGG